rnacentral:misc_RNA from 1 species
GUGAAUCAUCAAAUCUUUGAACGCAAAUUGCGCUUCCUGGUAUACCGGGAAGUAUGCCUGUUUGAGGGUCAGUUUUAACAACAAAUCGGGUUGGUUGCAAAUUGUGACGUUUCCGGAGUUUGGCCUUAUCUUAACUCUUUUGGGUAAGGGGCCCAAAGCUGACCUUUUUUGCGCAUUUUUAGAGGUACAUAUAUUUUUUUUUAUUCGUCUAUUCUUCAUGCCAAAAUCUUA